AAAGCAUUGUAUGAUGCUAGUGUACAACAGAACAUGCUCUGGGAAACAUUACAGCAGACCUAACGUAAUCUAAUUAAGAGGUGAAACAGUGCUCUGACCCAGAAUCCUGAAGACAGGCAAGGGUAGAGCCUUCCCAUUGGUUCUUCAAAGCUUACAGAUAUUAGGCACAACGCCUUUAACUGCCUAACAGCUAAAACAGCAGAGAGGUGGAAACAGAGCACUGACAGAGAGAGGAGAAUUUGAGAAGUAUGGGGAGCCAAGUGUACCCAGCAUUUAAAACAACCUGAGGUCAGUUGUCAUGACCUGAAAUUGGACCCCUCCAAGCAACAAGCUAGGCACCAUUUCAAAAUAUAUGGUCCCACCAAUAUCUUCCCUUAAAGACUAAAGUGAUAUCUUCAGGAGUCCUACCAUCCAAGAUGCACCAGGAAUAGGCGCCUGCCUCGAACAUUCCUCUUCCUUUGGAGCAGCAUUCACUCCCAAGAGGAGACCAGUUACCCAAAUGGCCGCUGCAUCACCACUACCACUCCAGAAGCAGCUGUUACCAGUCAGAGGGCUGGAGACCACCAGAUACUUUCAUGUUGACAGCAAAUGGAGGCUCACGUCCAUUAUACUGGCUGUAAUGAUCUGCCCAGUGUCUACAUGUCACCCUAAACUGACCAACAGGACCCAUUUCCCAAUCUUGUCCCAAGGGACAGAAAGUUCCUGCUGGACACAGCCAAAGCCAUGUGGUUCCUUAGUUCUAUAUCUGAGCAUGGGUGGAUCUGGGUUCAAACGUCAGCAGCAUUAAAUAAAAUUACUUUGCCAACAAAGGUCCGUCUAGUCAAAGCUAUGGUUUUUCCAGUAGUCAUGUAUGGAU